rnacentral:lncRNA from 1 species
UUCAAUAAUAAUGUUAAUAACACAUUUGCCCAGAGCCAAUUUCAAACGAAAAAAUAAACUCUAAUAAAUAUUUAUCUUUCACCUACGUAACUAGUAAACAAUCAAAUAAUAAUAACUUGCAUAAUCUUCAUACGAUUAAAUACAUGGAACUUCUUAGAACUGAGUUUUUAUUUUUUUUAGGGUUGGAGCGUCUUGGAACUUAUGGCGUGAGUUUUUAUUUUUUUUAGGGUUUGAGUGUUUUGAAAUUAUGGUAAUGUGGUAAGGGUAUUUUUGGAAGUUAUCAAGAGAAAACAGGAAUGAGAAUCAUAUCGACUACUCCCCCCUAGUUGAUCUGAUACCUAGUUUUGAGGGGAUGUGAUUACGGAUUUUGAGAUGGGAUCCACUUAUUUUUACAUUCCUGAUUGCAAGUAAACGCAUGGGAAGUCAAGAAUGGAAAUCAUUCACUUUCCCCCCAUACCCAUUACUGAUAUGUAAACAUGCCUUUAAUGUUGCCUUUUGAUUUAGAUACAAGCGAUAUUAGAAGAGGGAGGGAAUCAAACCUAGGAUUUCGGAUACAUGAGUAAAUGCUUUUAACAACUUGAGCCGCAAGCCCAUUGCAUUAUUUUUUAAUACGGUGUUGGGAGGAGUGCGAUAUCCAUGUAUUUAAUUAUAUGCAUGUGUUUUUUUUUUUUUCUACAAAACGAUAUUCUAAACUGCUCUAAUGUAUGGCGAGGAGAUUUUAGAUUGAAGGCAUUUUUUUAUCACAUGUUUUGCCUUCAUUUAAUUUUGGAUACUACUUGCCUCCUUAAUGGUAAAGAGAUACUCCUCUUCAUGCGAAUCACAGUUUGACAUAUAUGCAAAA